GUUUAGAAAACUGAAGCAUUCAAUCACGUUCGUGUGAAACCUGGCUUAAGAGAGUCAGGCACCGCUACCCUGGGGACUUUUUCCAUGAGAUCGAUGGGCAAUAAGCCGUGGGGAUGCCCAGGAGAGCAGCCAAGAGAAAGACAGGGGGAAGCUCAGGUCAGCAAGAUAGUAACCUGAGGAAAGAAAUAGGAAGGUGCUUGAGGCUGGCAGAGGUGCAAACCAGGCAAGUGGGCCAGAUCCGACUGAAGCCCCCACGAAGACAGGUUACUACAACUUUCUAAACAGGACCCCAAUAGCACAGGCUCUAAGACCAACCUGUAAAUAGCCAGGACCUCAUGAAGCUAAAAAGCUUUUGUAUGACCAAGGACACCAUUGUCCAUGAGAAGUGGCAGCCCACAGAAUGGGAAAAGACAUUUACCCAUGCAUCUGAUAAAGGAUCUACUGUAAGGAUGCAGGCAUUACGCUGGCCUGCCCCUGUCACCUGGCAGAAUGCACUCAGACAGUACUCUGGUCAGCCCAGGGGUCCAUGAGCACUAGUCUGCACGCAGAUAUAAAGAACCUCUUUAAAAGAAAGGACUCCGCCCACUUCCGUUCUCUUUCUCCCCCGCCCACUUCCGUUCUCUUUCUCCUCCGCCCAC